CCUACGGGUGGCUGCAGUGGGGAAUCUUGCGCAAUGGGCGAAAGCCUGACGCAGCGACGCCGCGUGGGGGAGGAAGCUCUUCGGAGUGUAAACCCCUGUCAGAGGGGAAGAAUGGCUCCUUGAGGAAAUGCGAGGAGUUUGACGGUACCCUCAGAGGAAGCACCGGCUAACUCUGUGCCAGCAGCCGCGGUAAUACAGAGGGUGCGAGCGUUGUUCGGAAUUACUGGGCGUAAAGCGCGCGCAGGCGGCCUUUUAAGUCUACCCGUGAAAUGCCG
rnacentral:rRNA from 1 species